rnacentral:lncRNA from 1 species
GAAAAUAGAUUAAAAUACAUAAUUAAGUAAGAAAUAACAACACAAAUGCACAAGAACAAGCUAACUAAGUCGCAUAAAUAUGCUCCUAUCAAAUUCCCCCACACUUAGCUUUUGCUAGUCUUCGAGCAAAACAAAAGAAACAAAACGAAACAAAACAAACAAAACAAACAAAACACAACCUAACCUUCCAACAUUUGCCUCAGGGAUUUUCAAUGAAACAUGACAUGCCAAAUAUCACCACUUACAUAGAUUUAAGCAUUCCUUACCCUCGAGCAUACUUAAUCAUAGUCACCAUUCACUAGCUCACAUUUAAUCAACUAAAACAUCAUUUUGAAUAUAGUAACAUGCCUUAGAGAAUUUCCUCAAUUCCUUACUAGAUACACUCUUAUUUUCACACAAGAAUUUCUGACUACAUUCCCUAUACUAGGUAUAUGUGAGAAGAUUGAUGUAAACAUGAAAACUAGUACUCACAUAUGUUUUUCAACAAAGAAGCAAUUUCUGGAAUUAUUAAUUCAUGUAUAUAUAUGAUCUCAUGAAUGGAAUGCUACUACUUAGAUGCGAGAACCAGUGACUGAAGGAUUUAUUUUGAAAAACAUGUUCAUUUGAGCAACAUCAUAUAGCAUGCAAUUAACAAUUAAAAGGCGGAAUCAUGCUUGCAUGCACUCAAAAACAAAACAUUACCCAUG